UACGUAGGGGCCAAGCGUUGUCCGGAUUCAUUGGGCGUAAAGAGCUCGUAGGCGGUUCAGUCAGUCGGGUGUGAAAUCUCCGGGCUCAACCCGGAGGGGCCACCCGAUACUGCUGUGACUCGAGUCCGGUAGGGGAGUGGGGAAUUCCUGGUGUAGCGGUGAAAUGCGCAGAUAUCAGGAGGAACACCGGUGGCGAAGGCGCCACUCUGGGCCGGUACUGACGCUGAGGAGCGAAAGCGUGGGUAGCAAACAGG
rnacentral:rRNA from 1 species